CCUACGGGUGGCAGCAGUGGGGAAUAUUGGGCAAUGGACGCAAGUCUGACCCAGCAACGCCGCGUGAAGGAAGAAGGCUUUCGGGUUGUAAACUUCCUUUUAGGGGGAAGAGCAGAAGACGGUACCCCUUGAAUAAGCCAUGGCUAACUACGUGCCAGCAGCAGCGGCAAUACGUAGGUGGCCAGCGUUGUCCGGAUUUACUGGGUGUAAAGGGCGUGCAGCCGGUGAGACAAGUCAGAUGUGAAAUCCACGGGCUCAACCCGUGAACUGCAUUUGAAACUGUUUCGCUUGAGUGUCGGAGAGGUAAUCGGAAUUCGUGGUGUAGCGGUGAAAUGCGUAGAUAUAAGGAAGAACACCAGUGGCGAAGGCGGAUUACUGGACGAUAACUGACGGUGAGGCGCGAAGGCGUGGGGAGCGAACAGGAUUAGAUACCCCUGUAGUC
rnacentral:rRNA from 1 species